CUCUCCACCCCUCUUCUUCUAUUGCUCAGGUUGAAGCAGAAUUUGCCCGUCUUACAUCUGUUGACCUGAAAGGGUUCCUUUUUGCUGUGCUUGACCAUUAUGGAGAGGUUCGUGAAGCUGUACAAAAUCAAGAGCGGCAUAGGAGGGCUAACUAGGCUCAUAAGAUGCUUCGGAGAUGAUAGCCCUACACAAAGGAAGAGGACAGAGGACCUCAUUUUCUAAAGGAAGAUCCCUCACACACUUUCAAGACUGUGAAGCCGACAGGUAUUGAAGACACGUUUUCUAAGAGGAUGAAAGUUGGCAUUGCGAUGGUGAAAGAAGAAGACAUCAUCGAUGUGUUGGUUGUCCUUGAGGCGGCAGUAAUCCUGUCUAAUCUGAGCGAUGUCUCAAGUGCCAUUUCCAUGCUGAUGGGCCUUCUUUUUGC